rnacentral:rRNA from 1 species
GACGAACGCUGGCGGCGUGCCUAAUACAUGCAAGUAGAACGCUGAAGGAGGAGCUUGCUUCUCUGGAUGAGUUGCGAACGGGUGAGUAACGCGUAGGUAACCUGCCUGGUAGCGGGGGAUAACUAUUGGAAACGAUAGCUAAUACCGCAUAAGAGUAGAUGUUGUAUGACAUUUGCUUAAAAGGUGCAAUUGCAUCACUACCAGAUGGACCUGCGUUGUAUUAGCUAGUUGGUGGGGUAACGGCUCACCAAGGCGACGAUACAUAGCCGACCUGAGAGGGUGAUCGGCCACACUGGGACUGAGACACGGCCCAGACUCCUACGGGAGGCAGCAGUAGGGAAUCUUCGGCAAUGGACGGAAGUCUGACCGAGCAACGCCGCGUGAGUGAAGAAGGUUUUCGGAUCGUAAAGCUCUGUUGUAAGAGAAGAACGAGUGUGAGAGUGGAAAGUUCACACU